rnacentral:rRNA from 1 species
AUUGAACGCUGGCGGCAUGCUUUACACAUGCAAGUCGAACGGUAACAGGCCGCAAGGUGCUGACGAGUGGCGAACGGGUGAGUAAUGCAUCGGAACGUGCCCAGUCGUGGGGGAUAACGCAGCGAAAGCUGUGCUAAUACCGCAUACGAUCUAUGGAUGAAAGCGGGGGACCGUAAGGCCUCGCGCGAUUGGAGCGGCCGAUGUCAGAUUAGGUAGUUGGUGGGGUAAAGGCUCACCAAGCCAACGAUCUGUAGCUGGUCUGAGAGGACGACCAGCCACAGUGGGACUGAGAGACGGCCCAGACUCCUACGGGAGGCAGCAGUGGGGAAUUUUGGACAAUGGGCGCAAGCCUGAUCCAGCAAUGCCGCGUGCAGGAAGAAGGCCUUCAGGUUGUAAACUGCUUUUGUACGGAACGAAAAGGUUUGGGUUAAUACCCUGGGCCGAUGACGGUACCGUAAGAGUAAGCACCGGCUAACUACGUGCCAGCAGCCGCCGUAA